AGUCCCUGUUUAAAGUGUCAUUGACUCGGGAAGUGUCGUCGAGUGUGGACGUUUGAAGGCUAACUACUUCAAUCAAGUUUAUUGGUCUGGCAAAUAUGCAAAACUGUUGUCACCCCACAACCUUAUUCAGGAAAUUCUAGUGCAGUGGACAGCUCUGUGAUGGAUUCAUCACCUGCAAGAUAUACCUCUACAUGGUACAAGUAUAGAAAACUUUCAUUAGAAAAGAAAACACUAGAGAUUGGACAAGCUGCUUAACCAUCCCUGAUAUUCAAGUUAUCAUAUGUUACCUGGCAAAGGUAGAUUUUCACACUACAUAAUUCACAUCUUUUGACUAGUGUCACAACACAGCAGUGUGGAGUAUUAAAUGCUUCCAGCUUACUAAUGACCUGUCAUCAUAAUUUAAUUAGAAAAGUAUUUAAAGUUAUGGGAACAUGACCUCUGAAAGUAUUUGAAGCAAUUAAGUAUCAAUGAUGUAACUGUAGCAUAACAUUUAAAGUUGAACUUUAUUUUGUGGGAGGAAGAGAAUGGGAAACCCUAUCUCGCUGUACACAUAGGAGAAUCAUGUACCUAAGGUAUCAAUAUACUUUUAUCUCCUUUUUUCUUAAGCAUACCUGUAGCAUGUACUUUUAAAUUAUAAAUACUUAUUUUAUCAUAUAACCGAGAGCAUAAAAUUUUCCAUAUCACUAGUCCCUUGCAAAAAUAAUUGUUAAAGAUUCUACCUUGAAACCCUGUUCCUUAUAGGAUAUAGCAAAUAUAAAAAUAACUGAAAACUAAAUGUGCCUAAAUUGCUUCAAAGUAUUUGUUUCUUUUGCAAAAAUGGGUAACUAAUUUUAAAUUUGUCUGCAUGGUGGACAAUAGGAUCAUGGACACCCAUAGAUUGUUUACUUUUAAAGUUAGGUCAUCACAUCUUUGAUCUACUAAGGAGAGGAAAAAUUAAAUGCUUAGCUUUUAAGAAUUUUUAUCUAUAUCUGCAUCAACUAGACAGUGAUGGUUGUGUUCACAUUAGUGUUAAUUUAUGAACCCUGUAUUAAAUGAUUUAUUCAACCUUCUUGCUGAAUUACUGGUUAUAAAUGCAAGUUACAAAACUGUAAAUGAAGUGUUAAUGCUGAACAAAAACUAUCAAGUCAGGAACAUGCAUUUGUGUUUGUGAAAUAUAUGCAAUGGUGAAGUAUGCAUGAAUAGGUUGUGACUGUUUGCAGCAACAAGUUGAUGAACUAUCUAUUAACUGGUGCGACUGAAAAACAUAACAUGAAGCAAGUACACAGACCUCUAGGUAAUUUUUGUUGUUAGUGGAGGAGGACAGUCUUGAACUGAGAAUUUGCAAGGACGGGACUUUAUUUCUUAUGUAAUUUAAGUUUUGAUUUCCAAGUCUAAA